rnacentral:tRNA from 1 species
GCAUUGAUGGUUCAGUGGUAGAACUCUCGUCUUUCAUGCAGGAGACCUGAGUUCGAUUCCCAGCUAAGGCA